CUCUAUAGAGUAGUGGGAGAACUGAGAUCCCCUGAGGAGGCCUCUUAAGCAUAGAUCAAACUCCUUGCAGUGACACUGGGUUCCAGGCUUGUUCCCCUGUGCAGUCCUCACUGUGGUCUAUGUAUACUCUAUGCAUUCUCCCCAUGCAGGUUCACUUGUAUUCUUCUACCUACAGAGGCUGGUAGAGAAACAUCAUCCCCUGGAACUGACCUAAGCAAGAAGCAGGCCAAGAAGGAAAAGGAGAGGCUGAUUAAAGAGCUGCAGCUCAUUACCGAGAAGAGAAAUGACCUCAGAGAUCGCCUGAGGUUUCUGACAGAGAGAUCCAAGAACAACAGGCCCUACUUCAGGCCAAAUCCAUUAUAUGAAACACUGGAGAGAAAGGAGAAGGAGGUCAUGUCAAUUCUGCACAACAUAGAGAUGGAGAACACUGAGGUCCAUGACAACAUCCAGGAGCUGAAGAAGAAGAUUACCUUCUCUAGUAUCCUGCUCAGCCAGCUCCUGACGCAGAACACAUGUAUGAAGAACUUUGUCACAUCUAUGCAGGAGAGCAAGGUGGUACAGACUGAUUGUGCACUGAUACAGAAAUAUUUGAUUGAAUUGAACAAGAACGAUAAAUAUUAACAGGAGAAGACCAGCAACUGCCAGACCCCAACAAUAUCUGGUAGGAAUAAGCAGCUGUGUGAGCUUAACAAUAUCUGAUACCAUUUUCCAAUUUCAUACUUCUUUGCUUUCCCCUAUAAUCUUUCUAAUUUACACUCCCAACCAUCCAACCAUGUCCUGUAAUGGAAUUGUUCAUUGCUCUGCCUAUGCACAAAUAUUCUGGGAAGUUAACCACUUUUCAGAAACUGAACUAUUGGCAAGUAUAUUUUGCUUCUGUUUUUGAAGCUGCAGUCCACAUGGCAUGUCUGUGCGAUAUGCUAUGUAGAGUUUUGAACAAGUUCUUGGUCCUGUGACAAAUGACAUUUUGUGGUCAUGUGACCUCCUAGGUAGGAAGCACCUUUGUGGGAUAAGAACCAAUUGCAAAUGGCAAAUUCAUCCUUGUCAUUGACUUUUAUCUUGGUGACGUAUGGACAUCUCCUUUCUUCCUGCAACCCAAUGAGGUCUCUUCCCAUUGCCUUGUUCUUGCUUUGGUAUAAGUCUGAGCCCAGAUUGGCAGCCCACAUUACUGUGAGGCUUGCUGGAGAUUUUGCCCUGCCCACACAGUUAGCAACAAUGAUAGCAGUUAAAAGGUCCAUGUACUGUCCAAUAGAACUGAGGUGGUAGAAGGCAGCAUUCUGACAGCUGACUUGCAUUUCCCCACCAAAUCAGUGUCUGAAUAACUGCCUUCCUCUCCCAGGUCUCAGAAAGUGCAAGAGAGCUGGAAUUGGACACACACCAGUAAGAGAGCUUCCUGAAGAAUAAGUUGCUUUCUCAGGAGUCCCCGGUUGACUGCCAUCCUGACUAUUAACAUUUUUUGGAUGAGUAUUCUUCCUCAUAGUUAAUUUGUCAUUGCUUAGAGACACUAAAUUUAUAUAUCACAAAGCCAGCCUGACUGAUUGAGGUCUUACUCACUUUCUUCUUUAGAAAACACCACUUGAGAGACAACUUGUGGGACUGCCUUUCAUUAUGUGUGCUAGAGGAGAAACAGCAAUGCAUCUGUGCUUCUAAAUGUUCAUU
rnacentral:sRNA from 1 species